UGGGGAAUAUUGCACAAUGGGCGAAAGCCUGAUGCAGCAACGCCGCGUGAGUGAUGAAGGUCUUCGGAUUGUAAAGCUCUGCCUUUUGGGACGAUAAUGACGGUACCAAAGGAGGAAGCCACGGCUAACUACGUGCCAGCAGCCGCGGUAAUACGUAGGUGGCGAGCGUUGUCCGGAUUUACUGGGCGUAAAGGGUGCGUAGGCGGAUGUUUAAGUGAGAUGUGAAAUACCCGGGCUUAACUUGGGUGCUGCAUUUCAAACUGGAUAUCUAGAGUGCAGGAGAGGAGAAUGGAAUUCCUAGUGUAGCGGUGAAAUGCGUAGAGAUUAGGAAGAACACCAGUGGCGAAGGCGAUUCUCUGGACUGUAACUGACGCUGAGGCACGAAAGCGUGGGUAGCAAACAGGAUUAGAUACCCUGGUAGUCCACGCCGUAAACGAUGAGUACUAGGUGUAGGAGGUAUCGACCCCUUCUGUGCCGCAGUAAACACAUUAAGUACUCCGCCUGGGAAGUACGAUCGCAAGAUUAAAAC
rnacentral:rRNA from 1 species